GUUCGGUCCCUAUCUGCCGUGGGCGCUGGAGAAUUGAGGGGGGCUGCUCCUAGUACGAGAGGACCGGAGUGGACGCAUCACUGGUGUUCGGGUUGUCAUGCCAAUGGCACUGCCCGGUAGCUAAAUGCGGAAGAGAUAAGUGCUGAAAGCAUCUAAGCACGAAACUUGCCCCGAGAUGAUUUCUCCCUGAGACUUUAAGUCUCCUGAAGGAACGUUGAAGACGACGACGUUGAUAGGCCGGGUGUGUAAGCGCAGCGAUGCGUUGAGCUAACCGGUACUAAUGAACCGUGAGGCUUAACCUUA
rnacentral:rRNA from 2 species